rnacentral:rRNA from 1 species
UACAGAGGGUGCAAGCGUUGUUCGGAAUUAUUGGGCGUAAAGGGUGCGUAGGCGGUGCGGUAAGUCUGUAGUGAAAUCUCUGGGCUCAACUCAGAGUCUGCUAUAGAAACUGCCGUGCUUGAGUGUGGGAGAGGUGAGUGGAAUUCCCGGUGUAGCGGUGAAAUUCGUAGAUAUUGGGAAGAACACCGGUGGCGAAGGCGGCUCACUGGCCCGUUUCUGACGCUCAGGCGCGACAGCGUGGGGAUCAAACAGG